rnacentral:rRNA from 1 species
AGCCGAGCAGCCAUGCCGCGUGUGUGAAGAAGGCCUUCGGGUUGUAAAGACAGGUGAGGAAGGCAUUGUACUUAAUACGUGCAUGUUGACGUUAGCGGCAGAAGAAGCACCGGCUAACUCCGUGCCAGCAGCCGCGGUAAUACGGAGGGUGCGAGCGUUAAUCGGAAUUACUGGGCGUAAAGCGCAUGCAGGCGGUCUGUUAAGCAAGAUGUGAAAGCCCCGGGCUUAACCUGGGAACCGCAUUUUGAACUGGCAGGCUAGAGUCUUGUAGAGGGGGGUAGAAUUUCAGGUGUAGCGGUGAAAUGCGUAGAGAUCUGAAGGAAUACCGGUGGCGAAGGCGGCCCCCUGGACAAAGACUGACGCUCAGAUGCGAAAGCGUGGGGAGCAAACAGGAUUAGAUACCCUGGUAGUCCACGCCGUAAACGAUGUCUUUGGCUGUAGUCUAGAACUGUGGCUUUCGGAGCUAACGCGUUAAGUAGCCGCUGGG